GAUAGUAUAAGAAUGAUACACCAAGAAGGAUGAGAUGGGCAGGAAAUACAGCACACACAGGAGAGAUUAUAUUUGCAAUGGAGAGGGAAGAAUAAUUGUGAGAUGUAGCACAGACGAGAGGGAAACAUUAAAACACAUCUUGUAUGUGAUGUGUUGGUACGGACUGGACUGAUUUAGUAUAACUGCUAUUUUUAUAAUGUUAUGAACCAUAAAAUGUAGGAGGAGAGUUUUGUGACUUUGUCAGUUUGACAGCCAGACAGUGACUGAUUCGCCUGUCAUAACCUAUCUUUCCAGUAUCAUCGUAAAAACAACGAAAUGUACCAGAACAUGGAGUGCCCUUUCAACAGUGGGAAUGAGCGUGGCCAAUUCUAGAAAAACAAACCUGUCUCGGACUGGGACAAAGCCCCAGAAAACUGGGACGAUGACAGUCUCAAGAACUGGGAUAAAGACCACAUGGAGGACAGACCCUGUUAUCAUUUUGUGUUGCUUGCUAUUAACAAGGGGGAUAUUUGGCUCAUAAAAGACAGGCAGUACUAAGUUUGAUACAGGACAAUUUUGCUAAUGAUGCGAAGAGAACGCAUGCAAAUGGUUUUGGAAAGGUGUACAUGACGUGGAAGAACUGCGGCAUGGAUAACAACACGGUAUAUGCAAUGAAAAUCAUUGACGUCCCCGUUAAAGGCGACCGAGACAAAUACCAAAGAGAGUGCUACGUACAUCAACUCUGCUGCCAAUUUCCAAUCCUGGUAGCACUCUGUUACACCUUCCAGACAAAGUCCAAGAUCUGUCUGGCACUUGGAAGAUACAUGAAAAACAAUUCCUGAUUCCAGGAUGGUUGAGAAGCAAAGUGAACAAAUUAACAACAGAAGUGUCAGUGCAUUGUAGUACCAAGUAAUGCAGUAAAAUUUACAAAGCUGCAGAGGUACUUGCUGCCCACAUCACCCUAGUACCACAAAGAAUAAGAACUAACUUCAAACUUAAAUUCCUAACAUUCCCUGUUCUGAGAAUAUGCGUACUCUGCUGGAAUCAAAACCUUCAAAAUUCUGUUCAUUAGUGUCAAUAGUAUUAAAGAUAAGGACAAAUUUGCUGUACUUAAGCCUAUCUUCUGCAUAACAGUGCGUUUUGUGCAAGUUCUUAAAAUCGUUAUUAAACCUCUAUCUUCCGUAAAACCUAA